AUGGGAAGAACAGGAUUUCUUGAACUCAUGGUCAAAUUUAGAAAGGAGUAAAGAAUGAGAGGACAAGCCCUAGGAGAGAAGACCUAAAAUUGGGAAAAUUAAGUGAAUGAGAAGAUAGGGACCUAUUCCCCCUUUUAUAAGCCCGCUGCAUGAUAACCCAAAAACAUGACAAAUGCUGAAAAAUAUGGUACUUGAUAUAAAAUCAUCACCUGUGGUAAAAUAAAUUAGACAAACACUGUCUUAGUACUACAUCAGGAAUGAGUGCUUCUAUCAGAUUCAGGCCAGAUUGUGCACAGAACAUUAUGCAACACAAUCACACACACACACACUAAAAUUGUCCACUGAGGACUUGAGCCCAAAUUUCAGUCGUGUAUUUUUGAGCUUAUCAUAAAUUUCCACAAGUCCAAUUUCUAAGAAGUUUCAUAUUCCCAUAUUCUAGAAUUUAGAAACAAGCUACCCAAAAGGCUUAUGCAGCCUAACUUUCACAGCUUCAUGGAGAGAAGUAAACAAAACAAAAUCAGGAGCUUUUGAGCAUAUCAUCAGUAAAAAAGUACUGCGUGAGAGCAGGAAAUGACUUUAAUUUUAUUUGGUCAAGUACAGAAGACAACUAUAUUUAAAAAUAUGUCUGAACUUCAUAACAUCUAGAGAAGGAAAAAAAAAAAGUAAGGGAGUUUUCCUAAUGCAUUAUGUGUUUUUAUUAUCUAUAAGCUCAAACUUGAAACAAAUUCUGUGUUGAAUGCAUCUCAGAACAAAUACACAUCAAAUAUCAUCAAUCAGCUGUCCAAGGACAUGAAGAACUGAAGCAUCAGCAUACCCAAAAUAUAACCCCAUCACAUUACUUCUGCAAUUCUAUUAUAUUUUGGGUAUGCUGAUGCUUUAGUUCUUCAUAUAAGAGAGCAAAUGAUUAUACCAAUAGCAUGUAACUCAAUGGCAUGAAUCUCUUUUAGUGAAACUAUCGGCAGCAACACAUAAAAUUGGUUUAACACACCCAUCUUUCAAGCAUUCUUAAAUUAGUCUUCUAUUAUUCCACCAUAACACCAAUUCAUAUUUAAUUAUACCCGAGCAUGCAAAUAUUUGGUUGCUUUUGUCAACCAGCAACUACUAAACCUUGAAAGAAUCAUUACUUCUGAAAGAAAUCAAUCUUUCUAUACCUGUUAGACCAAGCUGAGUGCCGCCACCACUUCAACAACAGAGCAUUGUGCUAUACUUCAAACUUGAUUGAUUUAGUAGUUGAAAAACAAUCAUGUCCAAAAGAUUCAGCAGUGUAUGAAUCAAUUAGCUUUCUGACAUCAGGUGAAAAAAUUCUCACAAGACAGAGAACAAAAAACUGCCCGAUCGAUAUGCUUGCUAAAGAAUAAAAACCUAACCCACUAUGAAGUCACGUAAAAUAGAAAGAGAUAUCAAGGCUGAUAUGCAUCUUUUCCAAGAUGACCUGAAACUCUAGAAAAAGAAUUUGCCAGCAGGAAUACCUAUUUGUAUGGAAUCAAUCUUCCCAUCAUUUAAGUAUCAUUCACAAACCACGAAUCAUUCCCUAUAUUCACCACAAGCAUGGAAAUAGAAACCAUAGGUUACUGCAACUCUUUCUCAGUGCAGAUCAUUUCUAGUAUUUAUGAACUCGGACCAGAGCUCCUCCAAAGCAAUGAAGAUACUGGAUCUUGCCUGUUGAGGUUUUCCUAUCAAUCAAACAUCUGCAAGGAAAAUAAAUCCCAAAUUAACUCUGCAAAAAAUUGUAGAAAGAUUGGGUUAUGGGGUAACUGAAAGCAUGUGAAGGUGCCUAUUGCAGCUAAAUUCAAAAAUCAAAUUGCUACAGAAACCCCAUGGAAUUGUUUUACACAAUUCCCUUCAAAAAUAUUGUCAACUACGUAGCAACUAAAAAUUCCAUGAAAAUUAUUUAAAGAAAUGAUGCUUCAAAAGCAUCGCUUGUCUCCUUAAACGGCCAAUCAACAUUUGUAAUAUAAGGAAUCAUACAAAUCUGCUUGAUGUUUAGGUCUCAUUGGAUAGUUUGUUCAGCUCAAAAUGAUCUGGAAAACAAUAUCCUCCAAAAUUGAAAAAUAAAAAAAUAAAAUAGCAACUAACAAUAUAGCUUAGCUCAUAAUGACAAGAAAACUGGAAUCUAAAUCUGUUGAACAAUAUUAUGUAUAUCAUCAACUUUCUCUUCCCUAUUCUCAUUUGCAGUCAUGCCUCAUGCAACACUUGCAGAUGGUUCAAUCUCAUUACUAAAACUGUGUUGCUACACUAAUUAACUUCCAGAUCCAACUUACUUUCCUGUGAAUUCAAUCUUAAAUUAAAUCACGCAUAAAAAGAAAGAAUACUAUGUACAAUGUGAUGCUAGGAUAAAGAAGGAAAAUACUUCUGAUAUUUUCUUCUAUAUUUGUUCCUGGCUAUAUGCCUCCUAUUUAUAUUGGCUGCUUUCUCUGAAAAAAUUGAUCUAGAAAACACUUUGUUUAUGCAACCAAAGGGUUCAACUCGACUUCGAUACAGUCACAGCCUGGUUUACAAUCACAAGAUAGGGUUUUGAUUCUAUUUGCAAUAUAGGACUAGGGUUUCCAUAUGUCACGCAGCAAGGACGAAUAGAUAGAAGCUAAAAUUCCACAAGUGUGAUGAAAAGGGAAACUUCAGCAUAUGGCAAACUGGGAUACCAGCUCUAAUGGUACAGCAGAGGGACCAAACCCAAAAAAGAUGGAUAAGGAUGACUGAAAGGAGAACAACAGAUUUCUUUUAGCAUAAGUUGUAUAUGCUUGGGGCAUUCGAUUAACCAGACUGAGACCAAAUGGCAAGGGGUUUGUAGGCGAAACUUAAAAUCUGUUCAUGGCAAAGAACAUGACUAACAAAAUUUUUACAAAAGAGAGAUUUUGAUACAUCUGAUUGACCGCAUAACCUUGUUACAUAAGAAAGUUAACAAUUUGGUGACUUCAAGAUAAGGAAAUCAUAUUUUUUUGUAUCCUGCCGCCUUCUAUCAUCUCAUCACUAGAGUGAUUUAUGAGAAAGAAAUCUUAUCUAAUAAGGAGGUGGUUGCAGUCCCCUAAGCUCUCAAUGAAUGAAGAAAAAUUUUGAAGCAGAAAGUUCCCAAUCAAAAUGAUCAGUGACAAAUACAGAUUGUGGACAAGGUAGAUCUUGAGUUAAAGGUGCAGAAGGGGAAAGUCCAAAGAAGUUCCAAGUUGAAAGGUAAGAAGGGGCAUGCUUUAAGUGCCCUCAAAAGGGCUAACUAUAAGAAAGAUUGUUCUCUGUUGAAGAAAAUAAUGAACAGAAGGAGAACUACAAGUUCUACGAGUGUGUCCUCAGACAUGAGACGAAAAGACAAUGGUGGUUUCUGCAAGUAAUAGUGUUUAUCUUUCUCCCUGGACGUUAAGUUCAGCUUGUUUGUCUCACUAUAUAGUAAAAGAGAUUGAUCUAAUACUUACAAACAGUGUGAUACUUGCAGUAUUGAGCCAGGUGAUAACUGUUAACGCAAGGCGAUUGGUAUAAGGGGAAUCAAAAUUAAAAUGUUAGAUGAGGUGAUCAAAAUCUUGAAAAAUGUCAACAUUGGCCGGGAAUUGAGAAAAAUUUGAUUUCCCUGGGCUAUUUAGAAAAGACUGGGCUCUUUAGAAUGACUUUGUAUGGUUUUUUUUGUGUAGAUCCUGUAAAUGGAAUCCUAAAGAUUACCAAAGGUCUCGUGGUUGUAAUGAAAGGGGAAUCAAGUAGAAAAUAAUUUGUACAAGUUGGUUGGUACUACGGUUAUACUUGAUACUUCAAUUGUAUCAUUAGGAUCUGACACUGAUGACUACUCUCUGACAUAUGGAUCAUAUUGGCAAGCAAGACAUGGUGGAACUUCACAAAAGAAAGCUGCUGAAGGGGUUAAUUGUUUUUGUCCGUUUAAUUUGAGAACACUAGAUCCUUAGGAAACAAAAAGGGAUGAGCUUCGCAUCUUCUCCAGCCAAGAUAUCAGCAAAGGGUAUGGACAAGUAGAGAUUGGAUUAUUUUAUGCUUAGACUAAUGAGCGGUCUAAGUUGGAUUUCCAAGUCAACAAAAUGCAUCUUUGUCAGUUACCAUAAGGGACUUGAAGGUUGAAAGUCACAGAUUGUCGGAUCUGAAGGCAGAGAAAAUGACUGUCAGUAGAGAUGUAGUCUUUAAUAAGAGAACAAUGCUAAAGAAACAUCCAGCUUUAUUCUUUCUGAUGUACAAGGUUACAAGGGAGAGAGGGAGCUCAGGAACUUAGAAAAUCAAAAUCGAUCAACAAAUCAGUCAAAAAAUGAUGGCAGUAGUGAUACCCAAUUCUCGUAGUGAGCAACUAGAAGACCCAAUUUUACAACAUUUUCAUCAACAGACCUAAAAGCAUUUAUAAUGCUCCUAUGAUCUAUGGGUUUGAGAAUGUAACAUUUGAUGCACCAUUAACUAGUUGUGAAGAACCUUGUUCAUUUAAGGAAGCAAUUUCUGGUCUAGAGAAAGAUUAGUGGAAAGAAGUUAUGGUUCAUUAGGCGUCCAAUGACAUUUUCUUUCUUGGAACUUAAAAUACAUUUGUCAGGAACAAUAGUGUUGUACUCUUAUUUCCAAACUUAAAAUAUUUUUUUUUGAAAUAAAAUUUCCAAGCUUAAAAUAAUAUGUCCUAUAUAUAUAAGUUCUAGGGAUAAGAGAAGGAAAAGUACAAUUAAUUACAAAGAGUAUAUUUUACUUUAAUACCUUUUAACCUAUUUUAACCCUAUUUAUACAUAAAGUAGAUUCUUUAAUAUUCCCC
rnacentral:lncRNA from 1 species